rnacentral:lncRNA from 1 species
AUCCCAUCUAAGUGCACUGAAGGAAACAAUCCGAUUCAGGAUCGGAUCGUCAGGUUGCAACUGAAAAUUCUUUUAUUCUGAAGGUUAACAUAACAUUUAUUUUUACCUUGUUUGUAGUGGAAUAGAAAUCAAAUUCCACAAAGGUUCCUUGAAUCUGAUGUCUCACGAGGUCUGGAUGAGCAGAUCCUUUACUUCGCAUACACACCAGACACCGUAGAAAAGUAGGAUGAUCUUCUUUGCAUCAAUCUUCAGAAGGAAAGGAAGGAGAGGUUGAGAUCUAAUCUCAUGCCCU